rnacentral:rRNA from 1 species
UACGUAGGGGGCAAGCGUUGUCCGGAAUUAUUGGGCGUAAAGAGCGCGUAGGCGGUCCGAUAAGUCGGCUGUGAAAGUCAGGGGCUCAACCCUUGGAAGCCGGCCGAUACUGUCGGACUAGAGUCCGGAAGAGGCGAGUGGAAUUCCCGGUGUAGCGGUGAAAUGCGCAGAUAUCUGGAGGAACACCGGUGGCGAAAGCGGCUCACUGGACCGUCUCUGACGCUGAGGUGCGAAAGCUAGGGUAGCAAACGGG